rnacentral:lncRNA from 1 species
CUGAACAACAGGGUGAAGAAGGAAAGUUCAAGAGCCCGGCUGAAGAACAGGGUGAAGAAAAGAGAAAGUCCAGGAGCCCGCCUGUAGAACAGGGUGAAGAAAAAGUAAAUCCAGGAGCCCGCCUGAAGAAUAGGAUGAAGAAAAAGUAAGUCCAGGAGCUUGCCUGAAGAACAGGGUGAAGAAGCAACAAAUCAGGAGCCCGCCUGAAGAACAGGGUGAAGAAGUAACAAGUCAGGAGCCCACCUGAAGAACCGGGUGAAGAAGUAGCAAGUCAGGAGCCCACCUGAAGAAUAGGGUGAACAUUAUCAGUUGCAAGUUCAGGAGCCCGCUUGAAGAAUAGGGUGAAGAUUUUCAAGUCCAAGCCAGAAGACGAUCUAAAGAAUAAACCAAUUGUCAAGUUCCCCUCUAAUGCCAAAAUCCGAUGAGGAGGAAUAUUUCGUGUAUCAAGUUCAACUCAGAAUAAUGACUAUCUCACCAUUUGAGAAGUCAUGAAGAUUCAAGUCAAGAUUCAAAAAAAAAUAGCAUAGAUAGGAUCUCUCACUUGUAUCAUCAUUUUAUUUUUUGUUAUUCAUUUCAAUGUAAAAGCAGAAUGUCGUGAACCGAAAACUCGACAGAACCUGACUCGAUCUCUAGCUCACUGCCACAUUAUUUUACCCCAUUUGAACUACAUAUGAUCUGAUUCCCUUAUAACCCGGGAUAUGUAGGCAGUCCAAAAUCAGAACUUGGUCACAUCUUUUAUUUUAUUUUAUUUUAUUUUAUCUUCACUUUUUGAAUAAUCGAAAGGUCAAAAAUCAUCUCUUUGUCUACUUCUUUGUAUGAAAACUCUUCGAGAUUUCAAACAAAGAGAGGCAAAAUAUAGACACGUGAUUUUUGACCCUCCC